CGGCGGCCUUAGCGAAGGUGAAACGCCCGGUCCCAUUCCGAACCCGGAAGCUAAGCCCUUCAGCGUCGAUGGUACUGCUCUGGUGACGGAGCGGGAGAGUAGAUCGCCGCC
rnacentral:rRNA from 1 species